rnacentral:rRNA from 1 species
UACGUAGGUGGCGAGCGUUGUCCGGAUUUACUGGGCGUAAAGGGAGCGUAGGCGGACUUUUAAGUGAGAUGUGAAAUACUCGGGCUCAACUUGAGUGCUGCAUUUCAAACUGGAAGUCUAGAGUGCAGGAGAGGAGAAUGGAAUUCCUAGUGUAGCGGUGAAAUGCGUAGAGAUUAGGAAGAACACGAGUGGCGAAGGCGAUUCUCUGGACUGUAACUGACGCUGAGGCUCGAAAGCGUGGGGAGCAAACAGG